rnacentral:rRNA from 1 species
GGAGUUAGCCGGUGCUUCUUCUGUGAGUGAUGUCCUUCCUGCCGGCUAUUAACCCGCAGGCCUUCUUCCUCACUGAAAGUGCUUUACAACCCGAAGGCCUUCUUCACACACGCGGCAUGGCUGGAUCAGGGUUGCCCCCAUUGUCCAAUAUUCCCCACUGCUGCCUCCCGUAGGAGUCUGGGCCGUGUCUCAGUCCCAGUGUGGCUGAUCAUCCUCUCAGACCAGCUACGGAUCGUCGCCUUGGUGAGCCGUUACCUCACCAACCAGCUAAUCCGACAUAGGCUCAUCCGAUAGCGCGAGGCCCGAAGGUCCCCCGCUUUCCCCCGUAGGGCGUAUGCGGUAUUAGCCUGGGUUUCCCCAGGUUAUCCCCCACUACCGGGCAGAUUCCUAUGCAUUACUCACCCGUCCGCCGCUCGCCACCAGGGAGCAAGCUCCCCGUGCUGCCGCUCGACUUGCAUGUGUUAGGCCUGCCGCCAGCGUUCAAUCUGAGCCAGAGACACACUCACNCAGCGGCGNGUCGACGACGGCGACUAG